rnacentral:rRNA from 1 species
AGCGAACGUUAGCGGCGCGCCUAACACAUGCAAGUCGAACGGGCUAGCAAUAGUCAGUGGCGCACGGGUGCGUAACACGUGGGUAAUCAACCCUUCAGCUCGGGAUAACGCCUUGAAAGGGGCGCUAAUACCGGAUACGACGCGAGGAGCUUCGGCUGCUUGCGGGAAAGAUUCGCAAGGAUCUCUGAAGGACGAGCCUGCGGCCCAUCAGCUAGUUGGUGAGGUAAGAGCUCACCAAGGCGAAGACGGGUAGCUGGUCUGAGAGGAUGAUCAGCCACACUGGAACUGAGACACGGUCCAGACUCCUACGGGAGGCAGCAGUGGGGAAUCUUAGACAAUGGGCGCAAGCCUGAUCUAGCCAUGCCGCGUGAGCGAUGAAGGCCUCGGUCGUAAGACUCUGUGGGAGGAGACGAAGAAAGACC